AUGGUAUCGCACAGAUCACCCCCU
rnacentral:miRNA from 1 species